UCUCCCUCGCGCACAGUAGCCCGACCCGAACAGAUUCUCUUCUCUCUCGCGCGAACUCCCCGACGCCGACGCCGACGCCGACGCCGACGCCGACGCCUGCAUCGACGAUCGGCUACCUUCGUCUUCCCUUCUCUCGGUGGCGCCGGCGAGGAGCAGACCUUGGAGCGUUGAGAGGGAGAGAGGUUAGUUACAGCCGAACCCUCUUUCUCCCCGAUCCCUUCCUCUCUUCUCUGAUCUCGGUGAACAACGGCGACGGAUCUUGAUUGGUGGAUUUCGCCGGCUGUCGGGAGGGAACCAAGGGCAUCGGCGUUGGAUCAGGCCAGCAUCGAUUGUUUGGAGGAGGUAACAACCACUGUUCCUUCCCGAUCUCUGUCCCUGUUCGUCGGCAGGAACAAGUCGUUGCCCUAACGUCGAUCUUGGAGAGAUCGGUGUUUUGAUUUCCAGCCACCACAGUUCUGUUAGGGAUUUCUUUCCUCCAUCGAAGCUGCGAUCAUCUCCGGUGAUAGAAGGGGGAAGAGGACCUUGAUUGGCGACAUUCUACGUGACGUGGGUGGUUCUGUCGAUACGGGAUAUAUUGAGGCGGGUAGUAGAUAGAUGAUAUGGAGAUGCUUGGAGCAUAUUGCCAACCGGUCCCAUUUUCCAUGUCAUAUCCGAGGGAUGAGUUUUGGUUUUGUUUCUCCUUAUCCACAUUUCUUAUUCAUUGUAUUUUGAGUACUGAUUAUGUUUUGAUACUUGUACUAUGGACUUCAUAUCUGUGAUGUGUUUUUGUGGACUUUUGUAUUUGUGGGUUUCCUCUUCGACUUUCCGUUGUGUUUUUUGAUAUAGCCGUGUGGGCUACAUAUUA